rnacentral:tRNA from 1 species
GGCCGGUUAGCUCAAUCAGUUUAGCGUGGUGUUAACAACGCCAAGGUCGCAGGUUCAAUUCCUGCUCGGUCC